GGGGUGAUGUAUGUGUAUGAAAAAGUUUUAUGGGUACACUUAAAAUCAUGUUAUAUUGUGUGCAUCUUGUUUCCUUAUUACCAUGUAUGAAUUAUAAUAUUUUUGUGGGAUGNUUAUCUACACUCUUUGACCAAGAGUGUGGGUAGGAGGGUAUUGAGAGUUCUCUCCCAUUGUUGGAAGAGAAAAAAGUGAGUNAUGAGUAUGAGAGGAGUGAAAGUGAUGUUUUUGUGAGAUGGGGUAUAUGGGGUUGAUGAAAUGGUGAAGAAAGAAGAAGCUUGGUUGCAUGGGAAUAAUAAGAUCAUGAAGGAAGAACAUGAAAUUGGCAAAGAAAAAGAAAGGGGCUGCAAGAGGAGCAACAAUCGUGAAAAGGGAAGCUUGAAGGGUCUUUGGAAGCAAAGAAGGAUAAGUUAAAUAAGGGUUGAAGAAAAAAA
rnacentral:lncRNA from 1 species